UACGUAGGUGGCAAGCGUUGUCCGGAUUUACUGGGCGUAAAGGGCGUGCAGGCGGUCUGUUAAGUGCAGGGUGAAAGCUCCCGGCUCAACUGGGAGAGGUCCUUGCAUACUGGCGGACUUGAGGGGGGUAGAGGAAAGUGGAAUUCCCGGUGUAGUGGUGAUAUGCGUAGAUAUCAGGAAGAACACCCGUGGCGAAGGCGGUUCUCUGGGACGGUACUGACGCUGAGACGCGAAAGCGUGGGGAGCGAACAGG
rnacentral:rRNA from 1 species